AUCCAGAUGGUGAGUCCCAAAAAGGACGAAAUGCAAAUCCUGGAU
rnacentral:hammerhead_ribozyme from 1 species